CAGUCGCCGCGGGAAUACAGAGGGUGCGAGCGUUAAUCGGAUUUACUGGGCGUAAAGCGUGCGUAGGCGGCUUUUUAAGUCGGAUGUGAAAUCCCUGAGCUUAACUUAGGAAUUGCAUUCGAUACUGGGAAGCUAGAGUAUGGGAGAGGAUGGUAGAAUUCCAGGUGUAGCGGUGAAAUGCGUAGAGAUCUGGAGGAAUACCGAUGGCGAAGGCAGCCAUCUGGCCUAAUACUGACGCUGAGGUACGAAAGCAUGGGGAGCAAACAGGAUUAGAUACCCGAGUAGUCCUGUCUCUUAUACA
rnacentral:rRNA from 1 species